CCUGGUUGAUCCUACUAGUAGUCAUAUGCUUGUCUUAAAGAUUAAGCCAUGCAUGUGUAAGAAUGAAAUAAUUCACACUAUGAAAUUGUGAAUGGCUCAUUAAAUUAGUUAUAGUUUGUUUGAUGGUAUCUAUUACUCGGAUAACCAUAGUAAUUAUAGUGUUAAUACUUACAACAAACCACACCUUCUAGAAGGGAUGCAUUUAAUAGAUAAAAGUUUGACAUAGGCUUGGUUCAUUGCUCUUAUGAUUGAUGAUAACUUGAUGGAUUGCACAAGCUUUGUGCCAACGAUGCAUCAUUCAAAUUUCUGCCCUAUUAACUUUCAAUGAUAGGAUAGUGGCCUACUAUGGUGGUGACUUAGGGUUUGAUUCUAGAAAGGGAGCUUGAGAAAUGGCAACCACAUCCAAGGCAACAGGCAUGCAAAUUACCUAAUCCUAGCAUGGGGAGUUAGUGACAAUAAAUAACAAUAUUGGGCUCUAAGAGUUUGGUAAUUGGAAUGAGUACUAUCUAAAUCCCUUAACAAAAAUCCAUUAGAGGGCAAGUCUGGUGCCAACAAUUGUGGUAAUUUCAGCUCUAAUAGCACAUAUUUAAGUUGUUGCAAUUUAAAAGUUCAUAGUUAGAACUAAGGGUUGGGUCAUUUGGUCCACCUCACUAUGGGCAACCAUCUACUUAUCCCUACUAUCGGUGAUGCACUCCUAGCCUUAAGUCGCUAGGUCAUUCCUUCAAUGCUGUUACUUUGAAGAAAUUAAAGUGCCCAAUGCAAGUCUAUACUUGCAUACAUUAGCAUGGGAUAACAUCAUAGGAUUUCGGUCCUAUCAUGUUGGCUUUUAGGAUUGGAGUAAUGAUUAACAAGAAUAAUCAGGGACAUUCUUAUUUCAUAGUCAGAGGUGAAAUUAUAUGAUUUAUGAAACAUGAACAACUGUGAAAGCAUUUGCCAAAGAUGUUUUCAUUAAUCAAGAAUGAAAGUUGAGGGCUCAAAGAUGAUUAGAUACCAUUCUAGUCUCAACCAUAAAUGAUGCCUACCGAGGAUCGAUGGAUGUUACUUUUAGGAUUUUGCUAGCACCUUAUGAGAAAUCAAAGUCUUUAGGUUCUGGCACAAGUAUGGUCGUAAGGCUGAAACUUAAAUGAAUUGAUGGAGGGGCACCAAUAGGGGUGGAGCCUGCAGCUUAAUUUGUUUCAACAUGGGGAAACUUACUAAUUCUAGACAUAGUAAGGAUUGAAAGACUGAGAGCUCUUUCUUGAUUCUAUGGGUGGUGGUGCAUGGUUGUUCUUAGUUGAUAGAGCGAUUUGUUUAGAUAAUUCUUUAACAAACAAGACCUCAACCUGCUAAUUAGCUAUGCAGAGAUGAUCCUUCAUGGCUAGCUUCUUAGGGGGACUAUGGCCAUUUAGGCCAAGGAAGUUUGAGGUACAAGUCUAUGAUGCCUUUAGAUGUUCUGGGCCUCACGUGCACUACAUUGAUGUAUUCAAUAAGUUUAUAGCCUUGGUCGAUAGGCCCAGUUAAUCUUUGAAAUUUCAUCAUGAUAGGGAUAGAUCAUUGCAAUUAUUGGUCUUCAACGAGGAAUUCCUAAUAAGUGCGAGUCAUCAGCUCACAUUGACUACAUCCCUACCCUUGUACAUACCACUAUCACUCAUUCCAAUUGAAUGGUCUAGUGAAGUGUUCAGAUCGUGGCAAUGUGGACAAUUCGUUAUCCAUGAUGCUGUGAGAAGUCCAUUGAACCUUAUCAUUUAGAGGAAAGAGAAGUCGUAACAAGGUUUUUAUAGGUGAACCUGUGGAAG
rnacentral:rRNA from 1 species